UGUACUACUUGCUCGUAGAUGGAACCCCAAGGCGAUUAUGGCAAACCACCAUGUUAGGAGCAUAAAUGUCAAAAAUCGUUCGUAAAUUUUAUUCACGAACGAUUCUCGGCAGAACUUCGGCUCCCUCGAGAAUUUUCAAUUUUGAUAAAAAGGUCUUCGCGACCAGGAAAAAAUCUCUUUUCCCUGGAAAUCUCGAAAGUUAGAGAAGUGCGCGAAAGUUAAUUUAAAACAAAAGUUUGUAAGAAGAAAAAUAGGAAAGUGGAAGUGUGAAUAAUUACGGGUUAUUGUUUCUUUGUUUUAGGUGGCAAUUGUUAUUAGGACAAUUAGUUUUGUUAGUUACAAUAAAGAUAAAAGAAAGCGUGUUAGUAGUGUGAAAAGUGUAAAGAAACAUAGUAAGAUUAGUGGUUAAUAGUGAUUAUUGUCCUAAAGUAACGGUGUUGAUUUGUUAUAGAUUUUUCAUAAAACGCUAUAAAUCACGAGAAGAAACCGCUACUGUUAGUGUAGAAGCAGAAGAAAAAGAGGCCUAAGAGUUAUGACGUCACGGGGUAUUAAUUGAAAGGGCAGGUCCACAAAGCGGGCCUUUUUCUGUCUUUUGUGCAGUUUCUUGGCAGACGACGAACCGGAAGCAACGAAAGUGGAGACAGUGGACUCGGAAGUGGACAGGACCUAAGCGCAUCCAGGUCGAGAACAGCACCAUUCGCCCUUUUGCUGUUGGGGAAAAAUCGAUACCAGCCCUGGUGGCCGUCGAAUGCCACCGUCGCCAUCUUCCAAGCCACCAAACUUCCAUUGUAGUUCUCUGCUACCACCUGUGUCGCCAACCCUGCACGUGACCGGUUCCUAGUGGUGAAUCCGGUACCCGAACACCAUCUGCGGCCCCUACGCCGGAAAGCCGGCCCCGCAGCGAGAAAGUAAUCGCCGUUGAUCACCAUCCAGCGGCCAAAGCAACCAUCCAUCGGUCCGUUACCGCCGAGCGUUGUGAACGUCGGCAACCGGCCGGCCAGCCCGAAGUCAUACCCUCCAAGCCCCGCAUGUCACCGUAACCGCCACCAGCCCUGUCAGGAUCGCGAUCCGAACGCCGAAACACGCAAGUACUCCGCAUGACGUCAUGAAUAAAUUGUAACACUAUUAUGAAAA